rnacentral:rRNA from 1 species
UUAGAGUUUGAUCCUGGCUCAGGAUGAACGCUAUCGGCAGGCUUAACACAUGCAAGUCGAGGGGCAGCGAGAUCAGUGCUUGCACUGAUUGUCGGCGACCGGCGCACGGGUGCGUAACGCGUAUGCAACCUACCCAUUACAGGGGGAUAACACUGAGAAAUCGGUACUAAUACCCCAUAACAUCCAGGGAGGCAUCUUCUUGGGUUGAAAACUCCGGUGGUAAUGGAUGGGCAUGCGUUGUAUUAGUUAGUUGGUGGGGUAACGGCUCACCAAGACAACGAUACAUAGGGGGACUGAGAGGUUAACCCCCCACAUUGGUACUGAGACACGGACCAAACUCCUACGGGAGGCAGCAGUGAGGAAUAUUGGUCAAUGGACGCAAGUCUGAACCAGCCAUGCCGCGUGCAGGAAGACGGCUCUAUGAGUUGUAAACUGCUUUUGUACGAGGGUAAACGCAGAUACGCGUAUCUGUCUGAAAGUAUCGUACGAAUAAGGAUCGGCUAACUCCGUGCCAGCAGCCGCGGUAAUACGGAGGAUUCAAGCGUUAUCCGGAUUUAUUGGGUUUAAAGGGUGCGUAGGCGGUCGGAUAAGUUAGAGGUGAAAUCCCGGGGCUCAACUUCGGAAUUGCCUCUGAUACUGUUCGGCUAGAGAGUAGUUGCGGUAGGCGGAAUGUAUGGUGUAGCGGUGAAAUGCUUAGAGAUCAUACAGAACACCGAUUGCGAAGGCAGCUUACCAAGCUACUUCUGACGUUGAGGCACGAAAGCGUGGGGAGCAAACAGGAUUAGAUACCCUGGUAGUCCACGCAGUAAACGAUGAUAACUCGUUGUCGGCGAUACAGUGUCGGUGACUAAGCGAAAGCGAUAAGUUAUCCACCUGGGGAGUACGUUCGCAAGAAUGAAACUCAAAGGAAUUGACGGGGGCCCGCACAAGCGGAGGAACAUGUGGUUUAAUUCGAUGAUACGCGAGGAACCUUACCCGGGCUUGAAAGUUAGUGACGGAUCUUGAAAGAGGUCUUCCCUUCGGGGCACGAAACUAGGUGCUGCAUGGUUGUCGUCAGCUCGUGCCGUGAGGUGUCGGGUUAAGUCCCAUAACGAGCGCAACCCCUACCGUUAGUUGCCAGCAGGUCAAGCUGGGCACUCUGACGGGACUGCCGGUGUAAGCCGAGAGGAAGGUGGGGAUGACGUCAAAUCAGCACGGCCCUUACGUCCGGGGCUACACACGUGUUACAAUGGCAGGUACAGAGGGCAGCUACCCAGCGAUGGGAUGCGAAUCUCGAAAGCCUGUCUCAGUUCGGAUUGGAGGCUGAAACCCGCCUCCAUGAAGUUGGAUUCGCUAGUAAUCGCGCAUCAGCCAUGGCGCGGUGAAUACGUUCCCGGGCCUUGCACACACCGCCCGUCAAG